GUUACGGAGUGCAGCAGGCGCGAAACCUCCGCAAUGUGAGAGAUCGCGACGCGCGGAUCCCAAGUGCUAUUCCUAACGGGAUGGCUUGGCCUUAGUGUAAAGAGCGGUGUAGAGAGCGGCG
rnacentral:rRNA from 1 species